UAUCCAAGGAUGGGAAUCGAACCCACAGUGUUCUGCUUACUGGGCAGAUGGCAUGUCCACUAGAUGACUUAGAU